AUCUCAACUUAUCUGAAUUGUACUGUGAAAACUCAAGACUCAAACUCAUUCGUCAUCUUGAAGGAGAAACAGGACUGCUAUAAAAAAGUUCCCAACUGAGGCUUUGCACAGAUGGAGGGUGCCUAUGUGUGAUGCAGAGACCAUGAAGAAGAGAGAUUUUGAAUGCACUUCAAACCUGCUAAGAUAAGCUGAUUGCCAUUACCUCUUCUAUCAAAGGCACUAGAGUAGAAUUUCUUUAAGAAUAAACAUCUUUCAACAUAAUAGUAGAAACCACUAAAAACAAGCACUUGAUAUAGAAAGUCAACUCUGCAUGAUAACAUGUAAGAUAGAGCUACCUAGAGCAUCUCCAAAAUUCUGCUUGGAAACUGUGAAGGGACUGUCGGGACCUGUCAAAAUGGGCAUUAUGAAAGGCUGCAGUUAAGCUAGCUUUCAUGGUCUCCAGGAAAAAGGAUAAUAUUGUGGUAAAUAUUGUGCUAAACUGAAAAAGCUCACAAUUGUGAUAGGGAGAAGGAAGAGAUGUCCACUGGAACACCUGCAGGAGGACCAAGGAAAUGAACAACCUAUGAAAAGCCUGACCACUCUCAAACCGACCAUGGUGUUCUUACAACAAGAAACCCAUUUGGCUUAUUUCCAGAGUGGGCUGGCAUGACAUGCAAAUAUGCUCAGUAUUUUAUCAGUGCACAUAGCACUUGACAGACUGUCAAUAUUUUUUUAAAGUCAGGUUGAUGCCUCUAAGUGCUUUUGAAUUAAAUCUGAAUAGGAGAGGAAACAAAUAACAGGAAAGCCAGCAGUGACCAGAAUGAAUAUGAACAAGUAUAACUGCAGGUAGCACAAUAGCAAACAAUAAAAGUUACAAAC